ACAAGAAACACACUCACGCCUGAGGAAAGACCCUGAUUUCUGCGCAAUUCUUCGUUCGCUCUCUCGAAGAGGGAGGAGGAAUUGUAAGAGCUCGACGGAGUGAAAAACAAGCUGUGGAAUUGUGGGGUUCUCGCUCGAGAUCAGGACUCCAUGCAGAAUGAUUUCGGGCUUUCUUGGGCUCCAUUCGUCUCGGUUCCAUCGUCUUCUUCUUCCUCGACAUCUCUCGCGCUGCAAGAAUUUCAGCGCCAUGAUUCUCGUUGAAGUUGACGAGGAUGCUCGUCUUGUUCUUGCACACCAGCUUUACCAAACUGGAAAGUUUAGCCUUGUGCAAGAACACUGUUGCGUGAUUAUGAUAUGUGCAUUGCCAAGAAUGAAGAAGCCCUUAGUAUUCAGCCUCGGCACGCCGAGUGUUAUGGAAAUAUGGCCAAUGCUUAUAGGGAAAAGGGUGAAUAUGACCUUGCAAUAUGUUACUAUAUGAUUGCUAUUGAGGUCUGUUUCCUUAUUUCCUCAAAGGCUUCUUAUUCUGUAGUAUGCAUUUACCAAUUCCCUGAAUUCCUAUUUUCUGCUUGAAUUUUCAUGGCUUCGACCAAACUUUGCUGAGGCAUGGUCGAAUCUGGCUGGUGCUUACUUGAGAAAAGCAAGCCUGGACGAGCACAGUGUUCCCGUCAAGCGCGUACAUUGAAUUCUCACUUGGUGCUUUUCAUGAUAUUUCUUCAAAAAAAAAAAUUUCAAUCAUACGGAUUAUUUGAUCUUCCAAUUUGAUCUUGCUUGUCAAGCAAAAAGGCUGAUGCUCCUAUUAAUAGCUGUGAGGCAUGGGAAUUGUUUGAAGGUAAAAGGAUUGAUCCAAGAGGAAGCUGUAAGACUUGAACCCACUUUCCAUGAUGCACAUUUGAACAUGGGGCAUGUUUAUAAGGCCCUUGGAAUGUCUCAAGAGGCAGUAAAUUGUUAUCAACGCGUUAUUUCAAGCCCGUCCCAGUUCUGCGUCGGCAUACGCUAACUUGGCCAACCUCUAUUACGACCGAGGCCAAUUAGAUUUGGCGGUACUCCAUUACCAGCAAGCCAUUACCCGUGACCCAAAAUGUGUCGAGAGUUACAAUAACUUGUAAUGCCUUGUGUUGCUGUAAGCACUUACUAAUCUCGGGAACAUAUACAUGGAAUGGAAUAUGACCGGUGUUGCGGCUUCAUACUAGACGGCAACCUUGGCAGUUACUACAGGACUCUCGGCUCCUUUCAGUAACCUUGCGAUGAUCUAUACACAACAGAAAUUAUGCCGAUGCCAUAUCAUGUUGGCAGCCAACGCGCUCGUAAGCAGGGGAAAUACUUACACAGAGAUUGGUAGAGUGAAUGAAGCAAUCCAAGAUUACAGCCAUGCGAUAAAUGUCCGCCCUGCAAUGCCCGAAGCACAUGCGAACUUGGCUUCGGCAUACAAGGACAUGUAAUCUUUUCUCCACGUUUCUCUGUUGCUCUUCUUUCUGGAAACGGAAACGUUCUAUUACGGUUUUCUAGUUUCCUAGAAGUCUCUGUUGGAAGUUUUAUUAACUUCCCAUUAUGUUAAUGGUCUAACAUUUCCUCCAUGUUGUGUUAACUGCAUGAUAACCACCCCAAUAGCAGUUUUUUCUGAUGGAGAAAAAACAAUAAAUAGGGGUAACGUAUUUGGUCCCUAAACCAAGCAAAACAGAUAGAUAUACACCAUCAGUAUUGUAUUGCUAAAGGUUUAGAAGCACCAAAUAUUCAGAUUUCAACUCAACCAUUUUCAAUGGCUGGAGUUUUUCAACCUGUGAAUGUCUCUGACAUGAAAUGCGAUAUUCCCGAGCUCAAAGGGGAUAACUAUAAGGUGUGGAAGGAAAGAAUCCUGCUUCAUUUGGGGUGGAUGGACAUUGACUAUGCUAUUCAGAAAGAUGAACCGCCUCCGAUUACUGAGGAGAGUGCGUCUGAGGAGAU